UCCGGCUUCCCGCCGGCAGUCUCCCGAGAGUCCCCGACUUUACUCGCUGGUAACACGGGAUAGGGGUUGCACGUGCAUGUCAAGCCCAGGUAAGGUUCUUCGCGUUGCUUCGAAUUAAACCACAUGCUCCACCGCUUGUGCGGGCCCCCGUCAAUUCCUUUGAGUUUCAGCCUUGCGGCCGUACUCCCCAGGCGGGGUGCUUAACGCGUGAGCUGCGGCACCGAAGGGGUCGCUCCCCCCGGCACCUAGCACCCAUCGUUUACGGCGUGGACUAC
rnacentral:misc_RNA from 1 species